UACGGGGGCAAGCGUUGUUCGGAAUUACUGGGCGUAAAGGGCUCGUAGGCGGCCAACUAAGUCAGACGUGAAUCCCUCGGCUUAACCGGGGAACUGCGUCUGAUACUGGAUGGCUUGAGUUCGGGAGAGGGAUGCGGAAUUCCAGGUGUAGCGGUGAAAUGCGUAGAUAUCUGGAGGAACACCGGUGGCGAAGGCGGCAUCCUGGACCGACACUGACGCUGAGGAGCGAAAGCCAGGGAGCAACAGG
rnacentral:rRNA from 1 species